CGCUGGCGGCGUGCUUAACACAUGCAAGUCGAACGGAAAGGCCCUGCUUUUGUGGGGUGCUCGAGUGGCGAACGGGUGAGUAACACGUGAGUAACCUGCCCUUGACUUUGGGAUAACUUCAGGAAACUGGGGCUAAUACCGGAUAGGAGCUCCUGCUGCAUGGUGGGGGUUGGAAAGUUUCGGCGGUUGGGGAUGGACUCGCGGCUUAUCAGCUUGUUGGUGGGGUAGUGGCUUACCAAGGCUUUGACGGGUAGCCGGCCUGAGAGGGUGACCGGCCACAUUGGGACUGAGAUACGGCCCAGACUCCUACGGGAGGCAGCAGUGGGGAAUAUUGCACAAUGGGCGGAAGCCUGAUGCAGCAACGCCGCGUGCGGGAUGACGGCCUUCGGGUUGUAAACCGCUUUCGCCUGUGACGAAGCGUGAGUGACGGUAAUGGGUAAAGAAGCACCGGCUAACUACGUGCCAGCAGCCGCGGUGAUACGUAGGGUGCGAGCGUUGUCCGGAUUUAUUGGGCGUAAAGGGCUCGUAGGUGGUUGAUCGCGUCGGAAGUGUAAUCUUGGGGCUUAACCCUGAGCGUGCUUUCGAUACGGGUUGACUUGAGGAAGGUAGGGGAGAAUGGAAUUCCUGGUGGAGCGGUGGAAUGCGCAGAUAUCAGGAGGAACACCAGUGGCGAAGGCGGUUCUCUGGGCCUUUCCUGACGCUGAGGAGCGAAAGCGUGGGGAGCGAACAGGCUUAGAUACCCUGGUAGUCCACGCUGUAAACGGUGGGUACUAGGUGUGGGGUCCAUUCCACGGGUUCCGUGCCGUAGCUAACGCUUUAAGUACCCCGCCUGGGGAGUACGGCCGCAAGGCUAAAACUCAAAGGAAUUGACGGGGCCCCGCACAAGCGGCGGAGCAUGCGGAUUAAUUCGAUGCAACGCGUAGAACCUUACCUGGGUUUGACAUGGAUCGGGAGUGCUCAGAGAUGGGUGUGCCUCUUUUGGGGUCGGUUCACAGGUGGUGCAUGGCUGUCGUCAGCUCGUGUCGUGAGAUGUUGGGUUAAGUCCCGCAACGAGCGCAACCCUUGUUCACUGUUGCCAGCACGUUAUGGUGGGGACUCAGUGGAGACCGCCGGGGUCAACUCGGAGGAAGGUGGGGAUGACGUCAAGUCAUCAUGCCCCUUAUGUCCAGGGCUUCACGCAUGCUACAAUGGCUGGUACAGAGAGUGGCGAGCCUGUGAGGGUGAGCGAAUCUCGGAAAGCCGGUCUCAGUUCGGAUUGGGGUCUGCAACUCGACCUCAUGAAGUCGGAGUCGCUAGUAAUCGCAGAUCAGCAACGCUGCGGUGAAUACGUUCCCGGGGCUUGUACACACCGCCCGUCAAGUCAUGAAAGUUGGUAACACCCGAAGCCGGUGGCCUAACCGUUGUGGGGGAGCCGUCGAAGGUGGGACUGGUGA
rnacentral:rRNA from 1 species